rnacentral:rRNA from 1 species
UACGUAGGGGGCAAGCGUUGUCCGGAAUUAUUGGGCGUAAAGAGCGCGCAGGCGGUCGUUCAAGUCGCGUGUGAAAGCCCCCGGCUCAACUGGGGAGGGUCACGCGAUACUGAUCGACUCGAAGGCAGGAGAGGGAAGUGGAAUUCCCGGUGUAGUGGUGAAAUGCGUAGAUAUCAGAAGGAACGCCGGUGGCGAAAGCGCUCGACUGGAUCUCUACUGACGCUGAGGCGCGAAAGCCAGGGGAGCAAACGGG